rnacentral:rRNA from 1 species
AACUUUCCAGAGAUGGACUGGUGCCUUCGGGAACUGUGAGACAGGUGCUGCAUGGCUGUCGUCAGCUCGUGUUGUGAAAUGUUGGGUUAAGUCCCGCAACGAGCGCAACCCUUAUCCUUUGUUGCCAGCGGUCCGGCCGGGAACUCAAAGGAGACUGCCAGUGAUAAACUGGAGGAAGGUGGGGAUGACGUCAAGUCAUCAUGGCCCUUACGACCAGGGCUACACACGUGCUACAAUGGCGCAUACAAAGAGAAGCGACCUCGCGAGAGCAAGCGGACCUCAUAAAGUGCGUCGUAGUCCGGAUUGGAGUCUGCAACUCGACUCCAUGAAGUCGGAAUCGCUAGUAAUCGUGGAUCAGAAUGCCACGGUGAAUACGUUCCCGGGCCUUGUACACACCGCCCGUCACACCAUGGGAGUGGGUUGCAAAAGAAGUAGGUAGCUUAACCUUCGGGAGGGCGCUUACCACUUUGUGAUUCAUGACUGGGGUGAAGUCGUAACAAGGUAACCGUAGGGGAACCUGCGGUUGGAUCACCUCCUUA